rnacentral:rRNA from 1 species
UACAGAGGUCUCAAGCGUUGUUCGGAUUCAUUGGGCGUAAGGGUGCGCAGGCGGCGCGGUAAGUCGGGUGUGAAAUCUCGGAGCUUAACUCCGAAACUGCAUUCGAUACUGCCGUGCUUGAGGACUGGAGAGGAGACUGGAAUUUACGGUGUAGCGGUGAAAUGCGUAGAUAUCGUAAGGAAGACCAGUGGCGAAGGCGGCUC